GCGCGCAUAGCUCAAUGGUAGAGCACCGCCCUUAUAAGGCGGUGGUUCUUGGUUCGAAUCCAGGUGCGCGCA
rfam:Candidatus Buchananbacteria bacterium RIFCSPHIGHO2_01_FTLL_44_11 rifcsphigho2_01_scaffold_1560, whole genome shotgun sequence.